rnacentral:rRNA from 1 species
AUUGAACGCUGGCGGCAGGCCUAACACAUGCAAGUCGAACGGUAACAGGAAACAGCUUGCUGUUUCGCUGACGAGUGGCGGACGGGUGAGUAAUGUCUGGGAAACUGCCUGAUGGAGGGGGAUAACUACUGGAAACGGUAGCUAAUACCGCAUAACGUCGCAAGACCAAAGAGGGGGACCUUCGGGCCUCUUGCCAUCGAAUGUGCCCAGAUGGGAUUAGCUAGUAGGUGGGGUAACGGCUCACCUAGGCGACGAUCCCUAGCUGGUCUGAGAGGAUGACCAGCCACACUGGAACUGAGACACGGUCCAGACUCCUACGGGAGGCAGCAGUGGGGAAUAUUGCACAAUGGGCGCAAGCCUGAUGCAGCCAUGCCGCGUGUAUGAAGAAGGCCUUCGGGUUGUAAAGUACUUUCAGCGGGGAGGAAGGGAGUAAAGUUAAUACCUUUACUCAUUGACGUUACCCGCAGAAGAAGCACCGGCUAACUCCGUG